ensembl:lncRNA
UGUCUGUAAGCUUAGAGUUUAUUUCUUUUCUCUGAAUGCUUCACUCUAUGCAUAAGAAAGAGAGCAUGGAAAUGGAAUCAAAGAUAGCCCAUUUUGCUAUGAGCAUCUCCUCUGUGAAGGACAUUUUCUCUUGUAUUUGUGCGUGCAAGCAUGCUGACAUGUUUAUGAAAAAUAUUUGUGUGUGUGUACAUGUGUGUAUGUGUGCAUGUUUGCGCUCUUGGCUGUGUGUGUGUGUGUGUGUGUGUGUGUGUGUGUGUGUGUGUGUCUGAGUGAGAGAAAGAGAGAGAGAGAGAGAGAGAGAGAGAGAGAGAGCACCUAGUGUAUAUAUUCUUCUUAACCAUUUUAAGUAUUAAGAUGGAGUCCAUCCUUCCCCAGCACUGAAAAGAGCUUUCUUGCCUCUUGCUAAGCAGACCUAGCUAUAAGCAUAUGGAUCUUUGUGUGUAGAGUCAGUGGGCCUCCACCCUGCAAUACUCUGUUGAAUGAAUUUGUGGCACUGUGAACUUUGAACUUUGUAAAGCAGGAAGUGGCUGUCUGUGCUCCUCAUCGGUUCCAUUUUGCUGGGAAAUGUCCGGUUUACUUCUCACCAUUACUCAUGGCUCACUACUGCCAUCUACAGGACACAAUACAUCACUGAUCAUGCACUGAUACUAUUCAAAUUGAUCUCCAGUCAUGGCCUGGCGUAGUAGAUACGAGCCGAAGAGGACAUUCUGAUCAGUUCACAACUGCACAGUACUGAGUCCAUGUUACAGUUUGACCAGAACAGUGUUUUAGUAUGUUCAGGGACAUUGUUGUGCCAAAGAAAAGGUUCACUGGGAAAAAAAAAAAAACCUCAACGCCACAGUAUUUUAGUAGGUUUUGUGCCAUAUUAUGUGUCAUUCCUCUGAGUGUUCUAGUUUAGCUCUUACAUCUCCCUUGGAGUCUGUCUGUGUGUGAUGUUAUGUGGUGGCACGUACCAUGGUGUCAUGGUCAUGGUUUUUAGACCUCUAAGCUUUGUUAAACGUAUGAAUUUAGCCGCAUACAUCAGUCAGGCAGGUGUUCUUCUUUAUGUGUCGAUGAUUUCAAAAUGUGUAGCUUUGGGACUUUUAAGUGUUAUCAGACAAGUAAGAUACCUGCCAGUGUUUGAGUACUUUUAAGUGUUAUCAGACAAGUAAGAUACCUGCCAGUGUUUGAGUACUGAAAACUGCUUUUCAGUGUCGGUUGUUACAUGUAAGAUUUUUGUAAGGUUUUCACGAAAAAAACAAACAAACAAACAAAAAACAAAUGUCCAAAUUCAUCUCAGAGUGAAAAGGGAGAAAUCAAUCUGUUACCUGUAUUUAUAUUUGUAUCUGUCAUGGCAUCAGUUUUAAAUAAUAGUAAAAUGAUAACUGUUUAUUAUUCAAUAAUAUAUUUGCCC